rnacentral:rRNA from 1 species
UUGGAGGGCAAGUCUGGUGCCAGCAGCCGCGGUAAUUCCAGCUCCAAUAGCGUAUAUUAAAGUUGUUGCAGUUAAAAAGCUCGUAGUUGAAUUUCGGGAUUGACACAUCGGUCGUGCCUUAAGGGGCAUGAACUGGUGUAGUCAAUUUCUCACCUUCUGGAGAACCGCGAUGCCCUUAAUUGGGUGUCACGGGGAACCAGGACCUUUACUUUGAAAAAAUUAGAGUGUUUAAAGCAGGCAUUUUGCUUGAAUACAUUAGCAUGGAAUAAUAAAAUAGG